UACAGAGGGUGCGAGCGUUAAUCGGAAUUACUGGGCGUAAAGCGCGCGUAGGCGGCUUUGCAAGUCGGGUGUGAAAUCCCCAAGCUUAACUUGGGAACUGCAUUCGAGACUGCAUUGCUAGAGUAUGGGAGAGGGAAGUGGAAUUUCCGGUGUAGCGGUGAAAUGCGUAGAUAUCGUAAGGAAGACCAGUGGCGAAGGCGGGUCUCUGGACAGUUCCUGACGCUGAGGAGCGAAAGCGUGGGGAGCGAACAGG
rnacentral:rRNA from 1 species